rnacentral:rRNA from 1 species
AUUAAAGCUGUCUCUUUUCCUACUAUAUAAAUUGUCUUACAGGUGCAGAGACUUGUAUAUUAAUGAAAGACAAAAAGACCCUAUUGAGCUUUAUUUUUAUUGGGUUUAAGUGAAAAAUUUAUUUUAUGACCGUAAAGAAUUUGGUUGGGGCGACAUAGAAAUAUAUAAAUCUUUCUUUUAAUUUAAGAAUUUUAGUUCUUUUUAAGGAUCUAUAUAAUAGAAAGCAGAAUUAGUUACCAUAGGGAUAACAGGCUAAUUCUUUUGGAGAGUUCAUAUUGAUAAAAGAGUUUGGCACCUCGAUGUUGGCUUAAGAUAUCCUAUAGGUGUAGCAGUUUAUAAGGGUUGGUUUGUUCAACCAUUAAAAUCUU